rnacentral:tmRNA from 1 species
GGGGAUGAAAGGAUUUCGACGGGGUUGUUAAACCUUGGUCAGCGAGUAGCGGAGUUGCACCGCUUUAAAAGUAACACUUUAAAAUUAACUGACAAUAACAGAUCAGUAGCUCUUGCUGCUUAAUUAGCGGCUUGCGUUCUGCCGGAGAGUGCCACGGCUCCGAACAGAGCGUCGAUUUAGUGGUGAACAUGAACGGAAGAGCGCCUUGGCUUCCGUCAGGUAUAAAAGGCUACCGAUGCCGAUAGGCUGUUUGUUGCCGAUCGGUUGGGGGAAUCCUAAAUAAUAAACUACACUCGUAGAGCCCUUGGCAAGAUGAUUUCGGACGCGGUUUCGAUUACCGCCAUCUCCACCA